rnacentral:lncRNA from 1 species
CUUGGAAGUCAUCUCUCCCCCUCUCCGAACAACAACAAAAACAAGCUGAAAAUCAAUAACUUUUCUUAGAUCCAUCACAGAACUGAGGUGGAGGAUAAAUCAGCACCCUGAAAACUGAAGAGAUGGGUGAAGAGGGAGAGUGCAGAUCAGCUCGCCGGAGGCACAGGCCACUGGAGCUGAACCCCACCAGGUUCUCAUGGUGAAUAUACCCUAUGCAUGGCCAGGGAGAAGGGAAGAGUAACCAUUCUGAAAUAUGCCCAG